CAGGGUAUAAAUAAUAAAAUUGUUGUUGUUGUUGUUGUUGUUGUUGUUGCUGUUGUGGCCUGAGGGUCACAUUCGCACAUGGGUAAUUUUUUGAGGGUCACAUGCCAGUAGUGGAUGGGGCCAGAGACAUAAAAAUGGGCAGAGCAAUGUGGGAAACUCUUACUUUUGCACCAUAGGCUAUAUUCCAGCCAGACAAAAAGCAGAGGUUUCUAAAGAGACAUCCCUCCAUCCACUAGCCAGGCAGAAGUACUCAAGGAGCGGACAGAGCAUGGCUGAUGAUGUGAAGUCUGGGUAGAGGGGGUUCAGCCUAGAAAGAAUAUAUGGCCUAGGAAGAGUCUCAAGAGCUGACAGACAGCUUGAGGUUUCUCACACCUGCCUUAGGCUAUCUCCUUGAGUAUAUAUAGACAGUCCAUUAAAUCUUUAGAGACAGUGUGGUGUAGUGGAGUGUCAGACCUGAGACAUGUUUGAAUCCCGACUUGGCCAUGAAGCUCACUGUUUGACCCUGGUCCAGUCACUGCCUCUCAGCCUAACCUACCCCACAGGGUGGUUGUGGGAAUUAAAAUAGGGGGAGAACCACGUAUGCCACCAUGAGCGGUUUGGAGAGAAAGGUGGUAUAGAAACGAGAUAAGUAAAUAAAUGUUCAUUUAGUUCCUCAUUAAAGCAUCGUUUCACCCUUUCUCCAAAUUGACUUUUGAGAUUUUGGUGCAUGUUUGUGACAGGCCCAAAGUAACUAUUUGUCCCAUUGUGUGUAAGGUUCUCAAGAUCCGAAGAAAAGCAAUCAGUUCCUUGGCCUGUGUUAAAACAGAAUAACAUGCAAAUACUAAGGAUUCAGGUGCCCUGGAAAACUGUGUUUCCCAGGGUCCCAGCAGUAUCCCAAUCACUGCUGUUGCAGUGUUCCUGUUGCUAAUUUAGUAAGCAUCCCCAUCAGUACUAAGAUGGAAAGCAGUUUUCCAAGGCAAUGGGUUAUGGCUGCCAUUUUUCUAUAGGCAAACGAGCAUGUCAGAAAGGGUGGGAUAGCCUCUGGGGAGUUGGUCCAAUCAACUUUUAGGGACAGGCCCUAUUUAAGCUGCUGAUUUUACUCUCAGCCAGUGCUCUCAAGGCCCCUACAGUAAAAACGGCUUGAGGGGCAUUACUCUGGAACUAGCCUUGAUUUAGUAUGCCCAGUGCCAGAUUUAGGGAAGUGCAGGCAAUUCCCUCACACAGGGUGCUAAGGUGUGGGGGAGCAAAUUAACUACAACAAACAAACAAACAAACAACCCUAUAUUUAUAUGUGUACCUAAAAGUGAGGAGGGACGUCAAAUUUUGUCCUCGCUCCAGGUGCCAUAUUGCCAAAGUUUGUCUCUGAGAUUUUCCAGCUAUGGUAAGAAAAGCAAGUCUUUCACUUCAAAGAGGGAGAUGAGCCAUUAAGAAAGGUCAAUGUUUUGGCCAGGGAUGCAUUUGAUAUGUACUUUAAGCAAGUGAUGUCGAUAUCAAUUUGGAAAUUAGUAUAAGAUACACAUCUCUGCCAGUUUGCCACUCUUCAUAUAAAAUUCUGCUUUGCUGGAGACAGGUUUCCAGAGCUUUUUCAUCACAGAGCUCCCCACUUUUCUCAAAUUCUUCCCUAGGCAAUUAUAGCCCGUGCUUUAAAAGCGCUUAAUUUUGAUUAGAUCUCUGACUGACCUUGUGAAUUUUGUUCAGAGGGACUAACACAACUUAGACAGGUGACUUUAAUUUUUAGAUCAACCUUAUGUAACCCAUGAAAAAAAAGGAUUUGACAAUUUUUGCAUAUUUUUAUAUAAGGUUGUUCAUGCUUGGGCUUGUAAGUUAUUUAGAAAAAGGAGGAAAUCCUGAGAAGCUAGCAACAAAAGAAAUUAUAUGAGAAUGAAAGAGGGUACUUCAAUGUGACCCAAGCCUUCAAGCCUAGACAAUAUUUUCUGUUUUCCUAUACUAAUAAAUAAAAAAGUUCAGUGAGCUUGCCAACAUGUCAUCUUUGUCAGAAUCCUUUUUGCUGUUGUUUCUUUAUGUUUUGCCAGAGAACACAAGAAUCAGCGUUAUGAAAAAUGUAUGCUGUUGUCAAGUACGUACAAGUAAUUUCUGUGAAGUGUUAACUAAGAAGGACUUAGCUGCCAAAUUUUUAAGUAUAUAUUUGUUUUUAAGCACUUUUAUAUAUUCAUUCUUCUAUGUAGGAAUUAUCAAAAUAUGAUAAUACAGCUCUUCAAAUUCUCACUUCAAAUAUAAUAGUCUAACCUGAGACGACCAAUCCUGCAAACUAAGUAAUUUUUCUUAUAUCCAUCGAAUUUCAGCAACCGCUUGAAAUCCUGAAUCUCUUUUAGGUGCUGUUGAUAUAAAGAAGCUAGUUUUUCAUCUUCCCUCCAAGGAAAAAGAACACUCAGGCCAAACAUUAAUUAAUCUACAGCUGCCAAAAGUUUUAAAAAAGCUUUGUAAUAGGCAAUCCAGAAUGUUUGAAAGUUUUUGAAGCAACCGGAUGACUAGAUAUGAGAUGGAUAUGAGAUAGGGAGAUCUCUUAGCUGCAAUCCAGAGAUUGUCAAACACAGGGCGAUGUAGAUGACAUGUAGAUACAUGGGUAAUAAUGGGAACAGAAGGAAUGGGAUUGUCAAUUUCAGUUCAUAUUACAAGAAAGAUGAAGAGGAAAAUACCUUAGGAUAACAUGGAUUACUUGGUACUAUGCAUAGCUGUGUAUCCUACCUGUGUCUGCCAGGUGUUUGGCUCUGCUGAUGGGAUUCCCAGGCCAGUUUUGGAACUGUUAUACAGGAGCAGUUACUGGAUACAGUGGUACCUCGGGUUACAGAUGCUUCAGGUUACAGACACUUCAGGAUACAGACUCCGCUAACCCAGAAAUAGUACCUUGGGUUAAGAACUUUGCUUCAGGAUGAGAACAGAAAUCGUGUGGUGGCGGCGUGGCGGCAGCGGGAGGCCACAUUAGCUAAAGUGGUGUCUCAGGUUAAGAACAGUUUCAGGUUAAGAACGGACCUCCAGAAUGAAUUAAGUUCUUAACCUGAGGCACCACUGUAUGAGCAUCUAGCUAGGUGACCAAGGCAAAAGAAGAAAAAGAAUCACCACCAUAAUCUAGGGAUAUACACACAUUCCUAAAAGCAAGGAGUUUGUGAUAGGGCCUUUGACAAUGACAUCAGAUAUUGUAACAUUCACUACCAUUGAGGAAGGCAUAGUUCCAUACUUCAUUUGUUUUUAUGGUGAAUUCAGGCAUCUACUGCAGUGAUGAACACGUGAUACAAUAAAAAAAAAAUUCAGCUUUCAUCCACAUUGAGUUGUAAUAAUUAAAAUGCUCUGUCUAUACAUGGCGGAUAGAGAUUAUCAAGUAGGGCUGUCACAUUCCCUUCAAUAAUCGCAUGGGGAAUAUUGCCAUGUACAACUGCCUUUGAAAGACACUUUGCAAGUGAAAUGUAACUUCAUAUGGAUUAUUAUUAUUUUCAAUUUUGCAUGUUAGUUCCUAUCCCAGCUAAUCUAUAACAGGCUGAUUGGUUUCCUAUUGCACUUUGUGCUGAACUAUUUCACAACAGAGUUCCCUAUUCAAAGUAUUAACUAAGAUAUUGCUAUUGACAAUUGUGCUGGACUCUUACUUUCCACCUGGGGACACAGUUUCAUUCAUGUGCAUGUUGGCCAUAGGUGCAUAUUGACCUUUGUCAAGAUUAAAGAAAAUGUGUGUACAUCUUCCCAAGCAUUUGGUCCAGUUUUGCUGCUAUUAACAUAAAUUGUAUUUCACAAGUAAACAAUGGAUUUAGAAUAUUGCUGCCUUCCCAGACUCAGUGAAUGUGCCUCAGACUUAGCAAGACAUCCCCCCCCUUUAAAUUUAUUCUCUAUUACUGUAUAUUGUAUACUAGCUGGUGGUAAAUUGUAAAUAUGGCUACAACCUGCGGAGAUCUUUUUAAAAAGUGUUUAAAAAGCAAUUUAAGAUUCCAGUCAAUGGAUUAUUAAUUUACUUCAGAAUUUGUGGCUUAUAAUGUUCUUCUCAGUAACUCUGUGUGUGCGCUUUCGUUUAUAGUCAUACUGAGGAAAGUGGACUAUUUUCCCCUUUAAAAACAACAACAACAUAGCCUGCUACACAUCUCUUGCACCCCAAUUUAUAAAAAAACCACUUUGUUGUCUGCAAAUGGGCAGCAAUUUGUCAUUCCUUUCUGUUUCUUAAUGUGUCUGCCAGAUGCUGUGAAAAUGUAGUGUAUAAUAAUAUCCAGAGGAAAUUAGGGAAACAGAGCAAAUGCGUGGAUGCUGAUUUCUCGAAACUUCACUCAUUAACUCACAAGAGCAUAAACAUGUAAUAUCUAUGAUCUUAUCUGCCAAGCACCAUCCUUGCAAGAGAGUAGGUUUCUGCAUAUGCACUGCCCCAUGUACGAAGGUGAAUGCUGUGGUAAAAAAGCCUACAUCCACCACCCAGAGCUAGGUUCAGGGUGGAAACGGAAGUUUAUUGCAAAGAAGGAGAAGUACUGACUAGAGAAGAGUGGCCAACUAAGCUGAUGGAAUACACAGAAAUGGCGAGACUGACGGGAAAGAUCAGAAACCAGGAGGACUGUUAUGUACUGAAGUUCUCACCCUGGGCCAGCAGGGGGAUACUGUAGAUAGUUUUCACUCAGGUCCACAUAUGCAAAUAACGGAUUGAAAGUGACAUUCAGUGAUUGGAUAGUUACAGAAAGUGGUUACUGUUGCAUUGUAGUGGAGCUCUAUAUAAGCAGGCUGUCUGAACCCUUCAGUUCAGUUCUGUUCUGGCCUGUGAAUAAACAAGAGCUGUUUGAAGACUCACUGUGUCAUCUGAUAUGUUCACCCACAACUUAACAAAGACCAAGUAUUUUUAAAAGACUGGAAUAAUUUAUUUAUUUUUAAAUAAUUUGUAUUGGUUUUUACAAAUAUGUUCUUACAUGACAUAAUACUUUGCACAAAUAAAACAUUUGGCUCGAUGAGCCUGUAACUUCCCUCCUCCUUGACUGAUGGUUUUCAAGUCUAAUCUCAAUAUAUUGCAUUUUCCUGUAUUUCUUAUUCCUAUUAAAUUAUAUCCUUAUAAAGUUACUUAACUAACUACAAUUAGUAAUAAAUGAUAAUUGUAUCCUUACAAAACUUCUUAUAACCUUACUAGCAAUGUUCAUUGUUUACAUUUCUCUUUCAAAUAUAACAUAAAUUUCUUCCAGCCUUUCUGAAAAGCCUGGUCCUGCUGGUUCCAGAUUUCCCCCGUCAGUUUUGCAAUUCAGCAAAGUCCAAUGAUUUCAUCUGCCACUCUUCUUUCGUCGGUAAAUCUUUCUGCUUCCAUCUUUGGGCUAGUAGUAUUCUUGCUGCAGUUAUUGCAUAUAAAAACAAUGUUUUAUCCUGCUUAUGUAUUUCUCUGCCUACUAUGCCUAAUAGGAAAGCUUCUGGUUUUUAAAUAAACAUAUAUUCCAACAUUUUAAAAAGUUCAUUAUAUAUUAUUUCCCAGAAAGCUUUCACCUCCUUACAAACCCACCACAUGAUAAAAAACACCUUCUUUUUCUUUAUAUUUCCAACAUAAAUUAUUUGUUCUACACAUUUUCGCUAAUUUCACUGGUGUUAGGUACCAUCUGUACAUCAUUUUCAUUACAUUUUCUUUAAGCAAACUGCAAGCAGUACAAAAUAUUCCAUCUUUCCACAAUCUUUCCCAAUCUUCUAAAAAUAUCUUAUAACCAAUAUAUUUUGCCCAAUGGAUCAUUGCUAAUUUUACUUCUUCAUCUUUCGUAUGCCAUACUGGAAUAAUUUUUUAAUUUGUCUGAAAGACCACUGUAGACAAUUGAAAUCAUUGGCAGAAAUAAAAUGACACUUGUAGAGUAAAAUGAACUUUGGUUACUAUGAUUAUAUAAUAGAUGGAUUAUGGUAAAAGAUGC